rnacentral:rRNA from 1 species
AUGUCACACUUUGAUGUGAAAUGCCUGAGAUCACAUUCAUCACCAGGAAGGGUCAAGAUGUUCCGCAUCAAAGGCGUCGGCAGUGCUACAAGAGUUGAAGAAAGAAGAGGAUUUGAUGUUGUUACUACUAUCUGUGAAGUGUCAAACCUGCCGAAGAAGGCAGAAAAUAUGUUGUUGACGGGGAUUUUAAAAAGCUUGAGGUGGUACCGAACGGGAAGCAGUUCAUGGAGUUAUUCAAGGUAUCAUCUUUUUGAUAUAGAGGUGACAUUCCCAUUGUGUACUACAAACUUGAACUGGUACCUUCUGAACUGA